rnacentral:lncRNA from 1 species
UUAUUCUGUUGUUGAUGAUAUUUAUGAUGAUGUUCUGUUAAUUUACAUUGGCUUCUUGAAUUGAAUUAGAGAAUUGGAUUAUUGUUUUUAUAUAAACCUGUGGACCAGAUUCGUGGUCAUGUUAGGCCAAUGAGUGCCUUGGAUCCAGUGAUAGAGCAUGGCGGGGCCUGCUCGGGGUUAGUGCGGAACUGAUCAGCUGCCUAACCUUGGUUUUAAUUAAAAUGUGAUAGUCCAAUUCAAUAAUUCUUUGGAAAGAUUGAAUUUCUCAGUUUAAAUGCUGCAAGGUAUUGUAAAUCAUUCUAUACAAUACCAUGAACUCAUGAACUCAGGUUGAAUCCUCUUAUAUCUUGAACUCGUGAACUUCUGUUAUAUCAUUUCAGAACUAUCAUUGUUUAUUAUUACUUGCUGAGCAUUGUUGCUCACCCUUGCUAUUCCUUUCUAACCAUUUCAGAAAGGCUUAAAGAUGAGAUGAUUGAUUGAGAUUGUGAGUAAGGCUAAUGCUAGGCGAGGAGACAGAGUUGAGGAUCCAGUGGUCGAGGAGUGUUCAGGAAAGUUGAUGAGGUUGGUGCAAGCUGGAAUAGUUGACAGUGAUUCUUCUUAUCGAAGAUGAUCUGAUUUGGUAAGAGAUGUUGUGUAAUAAUAGUGGUAGAUUCUAAUUUCAAUACUGUAACCUGGAUGCGAUCCUGUUGCUUUUAGGGGGUUUAAAUGUUCUCUUUCGAAUCAUUUAUUAAAGUUUAAAUGUUCUCUUGAAAUUCUCCUAUUAUGGCUUUCAAGUUUGAAAUUCAGGUUUUGAAAUCAUUCGAUUUAUGUUCUCAUUCAAAUCUUUUAUUAAAUGUUUUCAGGUUUUAAAUUCUCUGAUUUUAUUAUCUUUUGAAAAAAAAAAAAAAUUACAGGUUUUCGAAAGUGUUUACAAAUGGGUUUUAUGUGGUGACGUCAGAAUCCAGACCCCCGGAUUCUCGGGCUGUCACAGUUUGUAUCAGAGCAACAGGUUAUAAGUAUUUGAAAUUAGAAUAUAGAUCAUAGUUAUAGGUUUUCUAGAGAAGAAUGUGGUGUAACCUCACAUAGAGGUAUGGUCGGACUAUUUAGGAAUAGUCUAGAGAUGUGAGUGAAGCAUAGAGUUUAGUUAGAUGAUCAAGUUAAGUGUGGAUAUUUAAAGAGAUUAGGAUUCUUAAGUUUAGACAUAUGAUUUCUAGUAUGUUGAUUAAUUGAGAUGGUGAAUUGUGGAAAAGGUCAGUAUUAGACCUAUAUAGAAGAGUUUGAUAGUGAAUGAUUGAGUUGAGAAUGGUGAAAAUGCAGAGUUCAGAGUAUUCUGACUAUACUGCAUAUUUGAAAUUGGAUUAUUGUAUUGAUUUGAGGAUGAUAUAAAUGCAUGGUUCAUAGUAUGUUGACCAUGUCAGAUAUUUGGAAGAUGUAUAUUGUUUUGAGUGAAGAUAUGAAGAGUAAGUGUAGAGUAUGAGUUGUAUUGGAUUAGAAGGAGAGAUUGGUAGAUAGAGGUUGAUAGGUGAGAAGUGAAUGAUAGAGAGUACGUGGAAUUGAGUCCAGUUAUUAGAGAUGAUGUCUACGAGUAAGUUAGAACGUUAGUCCUCGACGACAACGCUUCGAGCUAAUCGGGAUUUCAAAUGGCAUCAAGGUGGGCCCAUAACCCACAGGUUGAUGAUCCAGACAAUCGAAGAUACGUUACGUGUUUGUGCUAUGGAUUUCAAAGGCAACUGGGAUAAAGUAGAAGAAUGUAAACUACAUGGGCCAGAGUUAUUACGGACGAUAACGUCUACGAUGACAUCUUACGAGGCUAUUACGAGUCAAAUCGAUUGAUCAUCAAGAACGUUGAAAAGAAGACAUAUAUCGUACAAUGAUUUAUUGAAGUAGAGUCGGAAUCUGAGAAGACCUUGGCAAUACCUCUCUUCAACUAAAGAUUCUUUUGAUUGUUUUCUCAUCAGUGAGAUAUUAUCAUGAUAUCUUUUCUACAAAAGUUUUGAUAAAUGAGAUCUUCAAUUUCUCAAAUUCUAAGAUGACAUUGAUAUUGAUUAUUGGUAUGAGUUGGAAAGCAAAGAUGUGUGAUAAAGGUUUGUUGUGAAGAGAUAGUGAUGUUCCUUGAUAUUGUUUGACAUUUCUUGACAUUCCUUGAUACCCUUUCAUCUUCCUUGAUAUCCCUUAGUGUUCUUUGAUAUUGUUGAUAUUCCUUGAUAUUCUCUGGUAUUCCUUAACAUUUCUUCAAUUUGAUUGGGAUGAACAACCCUAUUUAUAGGGGACACAAGGUAUACCUGUCUGUGUGAUAGGAGUUGGAUGGGACGCCAUCACUUGUGUGUGUUGUGAUUACAAGAAGGUUAACAACCUUUAGUAGUGUCUAAUAUGGACACGCAACAUUAAGUUCAUUUGAUCGUAUUGAUCUCCCAGUCACUCUUGUAUUCCAAUGUGACCUAUUUUGAAAACAUCUUGUUCCUCCGAAAUUCCCAAAGAUUGAUUCUUGGGAAAUGAAGUUUGCAAUUGUGAAGGUUUUGAUUCUCCUAUUUCUUUAACUUUGAAGGUAUGCCAAAGUUGAUCAAAGGCGGAUAAGCAUGUGAUAUUAUGAAGGCUGUACAAUGAUCUUAUAAAUGAUACGUUUUAGUUCUCAUCGCGGAUUCUGAGGACAGAAUCCUUAUAAGGGGGGUAGAAUGUAAUAUCCCAUGUUUUUAAAAUUAGUUUAUGAUUAUUAUAGAUCUAAUAUGUUGAUAUUAUUGUUGGCUUUAAUGGAAUAGUGACAUGAUUAUGUGAAUAGUGUGAAUGUGAUUAUUUUUGUUAUUUGGAUUAAUAUGGAUUUUACAGAUUUUGCGUCCUCCUUCUUUCUCUGAUUCCGAGGACGGAAUCCCUAUAAGGAGGGUAGAUUGUAAUAACCCGGAUUUUAAAAAUAUUUUUAUUAGUAUUAUAAGUGGUCUUCUUAAUAAGUAAGGAAUAAGAUUUAAUAUUUUAUUCCAGUUUAAGGAGUUUUCAAAAUUUUAUAUUAAACCCCGGGUUAUUGUGUUAUUGAUAAAUGAUUAUAUUUUUAAAACUGAUUUUCAUAUAUUGUUUCGAAAAUUCUAGAUGAUUAUUAUGUGAAUAUAUGUGUGAUGUGAGUAAGUGGUAUUGGUGGAUUUGUUGGUUAAUUAAUUAUGGUUAAUUAUGAGUAUUAUAUGAUUAAUAUAUGAAUUUUUGUGAAUUUUAUAUUAUCUGGUUUAUUGCGUUAACUGCUCAUAUGUGUUCGUAUUUGAGAGAUUUCAAUUUCUAUAUGCUCAGGAGAAAAUAUAGUUUAUUUGGAUAUUUUCAUAUCGAUUUAUGGAAUGUUAGAUGAUUUUAUAAUCGAUUUACGGAUUUAAUUGCGUAUAUUUAUAUUUAUUUAUUAAUUAUUUGACUUCCGUAAAACCGUCCACUCGUAACGAGGUAGCAAAUUUUCUUCCCGAAAGUUUCAACAAAACUGACCUUUAGCCUAAUUUGAAUAUUCCGGACACUUUUCGUGUUUUGACUUUUUCGAUCCGGAGUACGGUUUUCCCCGGAGUCGGUCCGGCGGAGUUUUUCGGGUAUUUUAAUUGUUGAUAAUUAUCCAGUUUGUCUCGAUAUACGUGAAAGCCAGAUAUUUUGAUUAUUAUAUUACUUUUUAUCGAAAUACGUGCAAAUGGGACCCCCAGACCAAUGAUUGAUUUAUAAUGCCCCGUUUUGAUGAUUAUCUCGAAAACCGGUACCGAUUGGACCCCGCUUUACUAAUAUAAAGCUAUUAAAUAUCGUAUUUUCAUGUCAUAAACGAUCCAAAGGGGUACCAAUUAUUUGUAAAUAUAAAUAGCCCUUUCUACACCUUAUUUUCAACCGUAAAUCAUUUCACCAGUUUCUUUUCACGAAUACCGAGAGAAACCGAGCUGCGUUCUUCGUGUUCUUCGUAAUCAAACGAGGAUUUGAAGGUGUUAUUGGAAUCCGAUGGAGGUGUAUGAAUAGUCAAAACGAAGCUAUCGACGCGUAGAAUCUAUUACUAUCAGUGGUUUCAGUGCAGAAUCGACAGGUUUUUGCUAAUUAAGGUUUUUAAUUUCGAAUUUAUAUGAUUUAAAUGAUGAAUUUUUGAAAACGUGAUUGUUUAAUUGUUUUGAUGAUUCUAUGAUGUAGAGCAUGUUUUUCUCGUCGUUUUGGUAUAUUAUAUGUCAAAAACGGAGUUCAAUAACAUGUAGAAAAGUCAGUUUGAUUAUUGAAACUGUUGUUCUUGGUGUUCUUGAGAAAGCUCGCCGGAAAAUUCUUGUUUUGGUCGGGAUUUUGAUUCGUUAAACCUGGGCAGAAGCUAAGCAUACCAUUGAAUAGAUCUUUGAGAGUAUAAUUGAGUGGUGGUGUCAGUUUGUUCAAAGGAGGCGAAACGAGUUCGCCGGAAAAUGGAGAAGUCGGCGGUGGCGCCGACCUUCAACCGGGUUUUACGGCAAAUUGGUGAAGUGCUUGUGAAAUCUGAAAAUACGAGUGGAUUGCUGGACAUCUGUAGAGUAUAUCUGCAGCUGGUGGUCGAGUUCUGGGCUCGAUGGAGCCUCCGGCGACGUCUCCGACGUCGUUCGGCGACGGUAGGGGGUGAUGACUGUAUAAUUACAGUUUAACCCCCGAACAAAUGAAGGUGGUGACUUUUAGUCACCCGAGUUUCAAAUCUUUCAAAACAAACCCUGAUACUUCGAAAACUUGCACUUUCAACCCUGCGUUUAAACUUUUGAAUAGUAACAAUUAAAACCUUUUCAAUUAUUUUUCAAAAAUUAUUUUUUUGGUCAUUUUUUUAUAGUUUUUAAUUAUUUCUUUAUUCAAAAACAAAUCGAAAUUAGUUUAUUAAUUAAUUUCAAUUGGUAAUUAAUUAUAUUAAUUGAUCAAUUAAUUUAAAUAUUAAUUGAUUAAUUAAUUUAAUUAGUUAUUAAUUGAUUUUAAUUGAUUAAUUAAUUGGAUUUAAUUAUCCUUUUUGAUUUAAAAAUUCCGAAAAAUAGUUUCGAGCUUUAAAAUAUUUUUCCAAAUCAUGUUCAAGGCUCGACAAUUGUUUAUGAAUGAUUUCAAGUCCAGUUUUGAGCAUCCGGACUUGAUUAUUUAUUUGAAAAAUGAUUCUUUUAUCCGUUUUAAUUCCGAAAAUGUUUAAAAAUUCCAGAAAAUUCCCGAAAAAAAAUCAUUUUUAACCCAAGAGUGAUUUGAUAUCAAUUGGGGUGGGAAACCUUAUAUGUAAUGUGUUAUCUGCUUUGUGUGUGAUGUGUUAUAUGUUGAUAGUGGAGUCAGAAAACGGCUUAGAUCAUAACUUUUGAUCUGUAAGUCGGAAUCAAGUGAAACGAAAGAGAGAUAGAAGCUCGUGAAGUCUAUUUUAAUAUGACAAGAUAAUAUGAUUGAAUCUAGAAUGUGAUUAUAUGCUAUGUAAUAUGCAAUAUGUAACCAUACGUGAUUUGUUUGUUAUGAAUUGAUGAUUACGUGAUAUAUGUGGUUAUUCCUAAUAUAGUACAUAUGUGAUAAAUGACUUAUAUGACAUAGUGUCAUGAUUUGAUAAGAACAUAUGGAUUAUAGGAAUUGGAAUUGGUUGAUUGGUUGUUGGUUGGGAAUAGGUUGACAGGUGGAUAGUCUUAUAACUAGACAAGAUGCUGGCAGAUUUUCGAUAUGAUUUAUAUGAUUAUUGAUUAUAACAUGUUAUGUAGAAUAUGACUUGACUAUAUGAUAAAGUCAAAGAAUGAUUAUGUGCUAAGUGAUAUGUGAUAAGUUUAAAGGGGUAUAUAAGUGGGUAUCGAUAUACGUGAUAUGUAUAUGCGAUAUAUUGUUUAGUGACUAUAGUAUUAUCUUAUUCUCGUAAAGGAUUUGGACGAGACGUGUACGCUCGAAGACGUCAGAAAGUCGGAAUGGUAUUGCAAAGCGAAUAAGGGAUGAAUCGAGUAAGCGAAGCGAUGUGGCGAAUAGAGUAUAGCUAGAGAUGGUCUAGAGAUUACGAGAUGCAUAGAUUGUGAAAGUUGAAAGAUGAGAAUGAGCUGUGAAACUGGAGUCAGAUUUAAGGCAAGUAUCCUAUACCCUUCUUUUGGAUAUCUUGCGAUUAUUCUGAUCCAUUCUUUUCGUAUGUGUUGCAAAUAUUCGUUCUUCUCUUUUCCAUAUUUGAAACUGUAAAUAUUUUAUCCAUCCUUUUCUAAUCCUCAAAAAAUACAGAUAAUUCCAGUUUUACAAAUUAAUUCGAAGUUCAGAUUGUCAUUGAAGCAUGUGUUGCUCAAUGAUGGUUAGAACCUAGAAUGACUUGGGAUCUUCUUGAUUAUUCAACCCGCCAUUGUCAUGCUGGUUUAGCAGGCUAAAUUCAGUUGCUUAGCCGAUAAUGGAGGAUACUGAAUAGUUAAGGAUUUCCUGAACUAUGAUUUAUGAAAGGAUGGACUCUGGUUUAUGGGAAGCUGAUUAUCAAAGUUGAUUUGGAAUUAUUCUAUCAUCGAUAUUGAUUGUGUUUAUGUUCUGUUGUAAUACGUUGACCUGUUAUUGAAUUAUAGAAUUGGAUUAUUGUUUUUAUAUAAACCUGUGGACCAGAUGAGUGGUCAUGUUAGGCCAAUGAGUGCCUUGGAUCCAGUGAUAGAGCAUGGCGGGGCCUGCUCGGGGUUAGUGCGGAACUGAUCAGCUGCCUAACCUUGGUUUUAAUUAAAAUGUGAUAGUCCAAUUCAAUAAUUCUUUGGAAAGAUUGAAUUUCUCAGUUUAAAUGCUGCAAGGUAUUGUAAAUCAUUCUAUACAAUACCAUGAACUCAUGAACUCAGGUUGAAUCCUCUUAUAUCUUGAACUCGUGAACUUCUGUUAUAUCAUUUCAGAACUAUCAUUGUUUAUUAUUACUUGCUGAGCAUUGUUGCUCACCCUUGCUAUUCCUUUCUAACCAUUUCAGAAAGGCUGAAAGAUAAGAUGAUUGAUUGAGAUUGUGGAUAAGGCUAAUGCUAGGCGAGGAGACAGAGUUGAGGAUCCAGUGGUCGAGGAGUAUUCAGGAAAGUUGAUAAGGUUGGUGCUAGCUAGAGUUAUGCUAUGAAGUUUCAGAUGUAAGUCAUGGCUGGAGUAAGUUGACAGUGAUUCUUCUUAUCGAAGAUGAUCUCAUUUGGUAAGGGAUGUUGUGUAGUAUUAGUGGUGGAUUCUAAUUUCAAUACUGUAACCUGGAAGCGAUCCUGUUGUUUUUGGGGGUUAAAAUGUUCUCUUUCGAAUCAGCUAUUAAAGUUUAAAUGUUCUCUGAAAAGUUCUUUUAUGAUGGUUUUCAAAUUUAAAAUUCAGGUUUUGAAAUCAUUUGAUUUAUGUUCUCAUACAAAUCUUUUAUUAAAUGUUUCAAGUUUUAAAUUCUUGUGGAUUUUCAUUAUCUUUAAUAAAAAUACAGGGUUUCACAAGUGUUUUAAAAAGGGUUUUGUGUGGUGACGUCAGAAUCCAGACCCCCGGAUUCUGGGGCUGUCACAGUUGGUAUCAGAGCAACAGGUUAUAAGUAUUUGAAAUUAGAACAUAGAUCAUAGUUAUAGGUUCUCUAGAGAAGAAUGUUGGGUAACCUCGUAUAGGGGUAGUUGUGAGACUAUUUAGAGAUAGUCUAGAGAUGUGAUGGAGGUAUAGAAUCUGGUUAGACGAUUAAAUUGAGUGUAUAGGUUUAAAGAGAUUAGGAUUCUNNNNNNNNNNNNNNNNNNNNNNNNNNNNNNNNNNNNNNNNNNNNNNNNNNNNNNNNNNNNNNNNNNNNNNNNNNNNNNNNNNNNNNNNNNNNNNNNNNNNNNNNNNNNNNNNNNNNNNNNNNNNNNNNNNNNNNNNNNNNNNNNNNNNNNNNNNNNNNNNNNNNNNNNNNNNNNNNNNNNNNNNNNNNNNNNNNNNNNNNNNNNNNNNNNNNNNNNNNNNNNNNNNNNNNNNNNNNNNNNNNNNNNNNNNNNNNNNNNNNNNNNNNNNNNNNNNNNNNNNNNNNNNNNNNNNNNNNNNNNNNNNNNNNNNNNNNNNNNNNNNNNNNNNNNNNNNNNNNNNNNNNNNNNNNNNNNNNNNNNNNNNNNNNNNNNNNNNNNNNAAUCGAGUAAGCAAAGCGAAGUGAUGAAUAGAGUAUAGCUAGAGAUGGUCUAGAGAUUAUGAGAUGCAUAGAUGGUGAAAGUGGAAAGAUGAGAAUGAGCUGUGAGAUGGGAGUCAGAUUUAAGGCAAGUAUCCUAUACCCUUCUUUUGGAUAUCUUGCGAUUAUUCUGAUCCAUUAUUCUCGUAUGUGUUGCAAAUAUUCGUUCCUCUCUUUUUCAUAUUUGGCAAGUGCAAAUAUUUUUAUCCAUCCUUUUCUAAUCCUCAAAAAUUCAGAUAAUUCCAGUUUUACAAAUUAAUUCGAAGUUCAGAUUGUCAUUGAAGCAUGUGUUGCUCAGUGAUGAUUAGAACCUAGAAUGACUUGGGAUCUUCUUGAUUAUUCAACCCGCCAUUGUCAUGCUGGUUUAGCAGGCUAAAUUCAGUUGCUUAGCCGAUAAUGGAGGAUACUGAAUAGUUAAGGAUUUCCUGAACUAUGAUUUAUGGAAGGAUGGACUCUGGUUUAUGAAAAGUUGAUUAUCAAAGUUUGAUUUGGAAUUAUUCUAUCAUGGAUAUUGAUUGUGUUUAUGUUCUGUUGUUAUACGUUGACCUGUUAUUGAAUUAUAGAAUUGGAUUAUUGUUUUUAUAUAAACCUGUGGACCAGAUUCGUGGUCAUGUUAGGCCAAUGAGUGCCUUGGAUCCAGUGAUAGAGCAUGGCGGGGCCUGCUCGGGGUUAGUGCGGAACUGAUCAGCUGCCUAACCUUGGUUUUAAUUAAAAUGUAAUAGUCCAAUUCAAUAAUUCUUUGGAAAGAUUGAAUUUCUCAGUUUAAAUGAUGCAAGGUAUUGUAAAUCAUUCUAUACAAUACCAUGAACUCAUGAACUCAGGUUGAAUUCUCUUAUAUCUUGAACUCGUGAACUUCUGUUAUAUCAUUUCAGAACUAUCAUUGUUUAUUAUUACUUGCUGAGCAUUGUUGCUCACCCUUGCUAUUCCUUUCUAACCAUUUCAGAAAGGCUGAAAGAUAAGAUGAUUGAUUGAGAUUGUGGAUAAGGCUAAUGCUAGGCGAGGAGACAGAGUUGAGGAUCCAGUGGUCGAGGAGUAUUCAGGAAAGUUGAUAAGGUUGGUGCUAGCUAGAGUUAUGCUAUGAAGUUUCAGAUGUAAGUCAUGGCUGGAGUAAGUUGACAGUGAUUCUUCUUAUCGAAGAUGAUCUGAUUUGGUAAGGGAUGUUGUGUAGUAUUAGUGGUGGAUUCUAAUUUCAAUACUGUAACCUGGAAGCGAUCCUGUUGUUUUUGGGGGUUAAAAUGUUCUCUUUCGAAUCAGCUAUUAAAGUUUAAAUGUUCUCUGAAAAGUUCUUUUAUGAUGGUUUUCAAAUUUAAAAUUCAGGUUUUGAAAUCAUUUGAUUUAUGUUCUCAUACAAAUCUUUUAUUAAAUGUUUCAAGUUUUAAAUUCUUGUGGAUUUUCAUUAUCUUUAAUAAAAAUACAGGGUUUCACAAGUGUUUUAAAAAGGGUUUUGUGUGGUGACGUCAGAAUCCAGACCCCCGGAUUCCUGGACUGUCACAGGUAAUGUAUAAGAUAAUAUGUUGUAGAAAUAAUUUUUAAAACAUUAACGCAGGGAUGGGCGCGGGGCAUUUCGGGGUCGGGAAUGUUAUCCCCGAUCCCCAAAUUUAAUACACAUCUCCUAUUAUCAACAUCAGAUCAUAUUAAAAUUAAUUAAUAAUAUAAAUAAAA